AUUGAACGCUGGCGGAAUGCUUUACACAUGCAAGUCGAACGGCAGCACGGGUGCUUGCACCUGGUGGCGAGUGGCGAACGGGUGAGUAAUACAUCGGAACGUACCCAGUUGUGGGGGAUAACUAACCGAAAGGUUAGCUAAUACCGCAUACGACCUGAGGGUGAAAGCGGGGGACCGUAAGGCCUCGCGCAAUUGGAGCGGCCGAUGUCUGAUUAGCUAGUUGGUAGGGUAAAGGCCUACCAAGGCGACGAUCAGUAGCUGGUCUGAGAGGACGACCAGCCACACUGGAACUGAGACACUGUCCAGACUCCUACGGGAGGCAGCAGUGGGGAAUUUUGGACAAUGGGCGCAAGCCUGAUCCAGCCAUGCCGCGUGAGUGAAGAAGGCCUUCGGGUUGUAAAGCCCUUUCGGCCGGGAAGAAAUCGCAUCAGCUAAUACCUGGUGUGGAUGACGGUACCGGAAUAAGAAGCACCGGCUAACUACGUGCCAGCCGCCGCCGUAA
rnacentral:rRNA from 1 species